rnacentral:rRNA from 1 species
GGGGAAUUUUGGACAAUGGGCGAAAGCCUGAUCCAGCAAUGCCGCGUGCAGGAUGAAGGCCUUCGGGUUGUAAACUGCUUUUGUACGGAACGAAAAAGCUCCUUCUAAUACAGGGGGCCCAUGACGGUACCGUAAGAAUAAGCACCGGCUAACUACGUGCCAGCAGCCGCGGUAAGAGGUAGGGUGCGAGCGUUAAUCGGAAUUACUGGGCGUAAAGCGUGCGCAGGCGGUUAUGUAAGACAGAUGUGAAAUCCCCGGGCUCAACCUGGGAACGGCAUUGGGGAAUGCAGGGCUAGAGUACGGUAGAGGGGGAUGGAAUUCCGCGGGUAGCAGUGAAAGGCGUAGCUAUGCGGAGGAACACCGAUGGCGAAGGCAAUCCCCUGGACCUGUACUGACGCUCAUGCACGAAAGCGUGGGGAGCAAACA